rnacentral:rRNA from 1 species
UACGAGGGGUGCUAGCGUUGCUCGGAAUUAUUGGGCGUAAAGGGUAGGUAGGUGGUCUCAUUUGUCUCAUGUGAAAGCCUUGAGCUUAACUCAAGAAGUGCGUGAGAAAUGGUGAGACUAGAGUACUGGAGAGGCUAGUGGAAUUCCCGGUGUAGCGGUGAAAUGCGUAGAGAUCGGGAGGAACACCAGAGGCGAAGGCGGCUAGCUGGACAGUAACUGACACUCAACUACGAAAGCGUGGGGAGCAAACAGG